UAAGGUUUUCCCGUAGGUGAACCUUGCGGAACUAUGGGGAAAUAAAAAUGCCCGGCAAAGAGACCGCGAACACGUUACGACACUCGAGGGGGGCGAGGGGCGCGAACACGCCCCGGACAAGUCCUCGCCGGGUGCUUGUGGCCCCGCCCCUCUUCCCCCGGCACCAAACGAACCCCGGCGCGGAAUGCGUCAAGGAAAGACAACGAGACGAUCCCCGCCAUCGAGGCCCCGGGAACGGUGACUCUGCCUCGGUGGUCGCUUCGGGAUCGGUUUUUAGUAUGAAGAACGACUCUCGGCAACGGAUAUCUCGGCUCUCGCAUCGAUGAAGAACGUAGCGAAAUGCGAUACUUGGUGUGAAUUGCAGAAUCCCGUGAACCAUCGAGUCUUUGAACGCAAGUUGCGCCCGAAGCCAUCAGGUCGAGGGCACGUCUGCCUGGGCGUCACACGUCGUUGCCCCCCCGAACCCCCGUCCCGCUCCUAGCCGGGCGAGUGGGGACUGUGUGGGGGGGGCGGAUGAUGACCUCCCGUGCGUGCUUUGACCCGCGGUUGGUCCAAAAACCGAGUCCCCUGUCACGUCGUCUUGGCAACAGGUAGUCGAUCAUUCGGUGCCGCCGCCUCGUGCGUCGGACACGCAUCUGGACUCCGACAGACCCCAAAUGCGCCCUCACGGUGCUCUCAGCUCAGCUGCCCACGUUGGGCGGGGCUACCCGCUGAGUUUAAAGCAUAA
rnacentral:rRNA from 1 species